rnacentral:rRNA from 1 species
CCCUUAGAUGUUCUGGGCCGCACGCGCGCUACACUGAUGCAUUCAACGAGUCUAAAACCUGCUCUGAUAGGGGUGGGUAAUCUUUUGAAUGUGCAUCGUGAUUGGGAUAGAUGAUUGCAAUUUUUCAUCUUCAACGAGGAAUGCCUAGUAAACGCAAGUCAUCAGUUUGCAUUGAUUACGUCCCUGCCCUUUGUACACACCGCCCGUCGCUCCUACCGAUUGAAUGAUCCGAUGAAUAUCAUGGAUUGAGGAUGCAAGUAGGUUCGCCUAUCUUCAUCUUCGAGAAGUGAAGUAAAUCUUAUCAUUUAGAGGAAGGAGAAGUCGUAACA